CAGUGCCACGGUAAAACGAACCGUGCGAACGUUAUUCGGGAUCACUGGGCUUAAAGCGCGUGUAGGCGGGCCGCCACGUCGGCUGCUGAAAUCCCCCGGCUCAACCGGGGAAGUGGCACCGAUACGAGCGGCCUGGAGGGGGGUAGGGGGGACUGGAACUUCCGGUGGAGCGGUGAAAUGCGUAGAGAUGUGGAGGAACACCAGUGGCGAAGGCGACUCUCUGGUCUGUAACUGACGCUGAGGAGCGAAAGCGUGGGGAGCGAACAGGAUUAGAUACCCCCGUAGUCCCUGUCUCUUAUAC
rnacentral:rRNA from 1 species